UCAUGAAUGAAAAUCUAAGCAGUCCGCCUCUCCACGCCUCAGUCCUUCCUGGAGUUAAACAAAUAUUCAUGGAGCGCUUUCUGUGUGCCAGGCAAACUUUCUAACAACCUCAGAGGCAGAUGCUGAUAUCAGGCAAUAAAGAGGAGAGAAUCAUCUCCCAGGGUGGCUCAGAGCACAGGUCCAAGCACAUGCCCUGAACCACUGUGACCAGCCAUGAAGGGAGGAACAGCAUUCCAGGCAUUUGGGUGACCAAGGACCUUCCCUGUGUGCCACACCAGCCCCUGCCUCCUCCAGCCUCCCAGGAACCCAGUGACCAGAGGGAAGUUGCCAACCAGGGAGGAAGUUGCUGCUGCCUGCUGAAAAAGGAAAAUCGGGGCAGUGAACUUGCUCCCACGUGGCCAACCUCUGGGCAAACCCCUGGGGGAAAACAGAGCCAGUGCCUGACUCAUCCUAGAUCAUUUCCUCAGAGAGUAUGGGGUGCAACCAGAGGCCAGGAAAAAGCACCCAGGCAGGGGGCUGCCUCUACAUCUACCAGGCCCCAGGGAGACAGAGCCACCAAGAUGUCAACCUUAAGUCCUGGGCCAUAUGAAUGCUGUGUGAUCUGGGUGCCUUUUUGCCUUCUCUAGGUCCCAGUUUCCCACCUAUGUAAGGGGCUGAAUGGCUAUGUGAUCUCCAGGGCCUCCUCCCGCCUGCUCUGAAUGUAACAGUGGUAUAAACCCUAACUGUGAGGGCCCAGGUCAUCCUUCCACAGCUCCUCAGGCCAGCAGAGGCUCCACCCUUCAUGUCUUCAUACUCAGAGCCCUCUUAAUAUUCCCAGAUGUCACAACCAAAGUUCCCUUCUCCUCCUCCUUCCCUACUCCAUCCAUGGGCUCAGCUGCCCACUAAAGUUAGUCAAAGCACUGCUCCUGUGGGUAACGUAUUUACUUCCUCCCUACGUCCUGAUGGGGGCCCAUUACCCUCACCACCACCACCACCACCACCGCACCACCAAGGCACAGAUGGAGUCUUUCAUCUCCAAGGCAGAAAGGCAGGGAUGUGCCCGCUGGUGGGGCGGGGGCACAACACACACCUGGCAGGGCCUCAUGGAGCCCAAAGCACACAUGAAGGAAGAAGCCUGAUGGGGCACUGGAGAGUCAGGGCCCGGAAGGACAAGGUAGCCCUCACAGCAGGAAUGCUUUGACCACAGGAGCCCUAACCAGGAAACAGGCUUCCUGAGCCAUGGCUCUGCAAGGCCAUUUGCAGCCUACAUCCUAGGGUACUGGGGAGGAUCAGGGGCACCCGCUUCUUUAUCUGCAGAUGGGGCAUAAUAACACCGUCUGGCACUGCUGUGGGUUCCCACAAACAGAUGAAGCCAAACCUUGGCCUGGCCCUGGAUACUGUGGAAUCUCAGCGUGCAGCUGAUCACUCCACAAACCUCCCUGCCCACACCCACCACUGGUGCCAAGAGAUGCUGAGAGUUCAUGUGGGCACAGGGCCUGGGUCCUGCUGUGGGAGGUCUAGGAGGGAAGGGAGCUCCACAGGAAAGAGACUCACCAGGCUUAGGGGCUCCAUUCAUGAAGUCUGGCUACCAAUGGGCCUCAUUUCCCUGCCAAAUCAUCAGGCAAAUCUGAUAGCUUGGCGGUUCUCUUUCCAAGAGGGCAAGUAUCCGAGGUGCUGGCCAAGCUCCCAGACCUGCAACUGGGGGAUGAAGGCAUAGACAGGUAGAGGUCUGAGUGUGCCUGGGAGCUGCAGGCCCAGGACACCCAAGAUGAGCAUGAAUGGGGCAGUAGAGCUGGCAAUGUUAAGACCACAUAACCUAGGCCCAAGGCCCCUUUACUUUUGAAUUCCUAUUUUAUUGGGUAUCAAUCCAGGUGUUCUUCAGUGCCCCCUGGGCAGGGGUUCCCAGGCCCCCUCAGGUGUCUGAAUCUGAAAGUUCUCACAUCCCUUUUGUGAAAUGGCACCAUGCUUGUGUGUGACCUGCUCACCUCCUACAUACCAUAAGUCAUUCCUAGAUCACUUAUGAUACCUACCAUUCUGUUCAUUCUACGUCAUUUGUUAUGAUACUGUUUAGGAAAUAAAGACCACA